AUACGGAGGGCGCAAGCGUUGUUCGGAAUUACUGGGCGUAAAGCGCGUGUAGGCGGAGUAUCAGGUGUCUUGUGAAAUCCCCGGGCUCAACCCGGGAACUGCUGGGCAAACCGGUAUUCUUGAGGCAAGUAGAGGUGAGUGGAACAACUGGUGGAGCGGUGAAAUGCGUAGAUAUCAGUUGGAGCGCCGGAGGCGAAAGCGGCUCACUGGGCUUGUUCUGACGCUGAGACGCGAAAGCGUGGGUAGCAAACAGGAUUAGAUACCCCAGUAGUCC
rnacentral:rRNA from 1 species